rnacentral:rRNA from 1 species
UACGUAGGGCGCAAGCGUUGUCCGGAAUUAUUGGGCGUAAAGAGCUCGUAGGCGGUCUGUCGCGUCUGCUGUGAAAACUCGGGGCUUAACCCCGGGCCUGCAGUGGGUACGGGCAGACUAGAGUGCGGUAGGGGAGAUUGGAAUUCCUGGUGUAGCGGUGGAAUGCGCAGAUAUCAGGAGGAACACCGAUGGCGAAGGCAGAUCUCUGGGCCGUAACUGACGCUGAGGAGCGAAAGCGUGGGGAGCGAACAGG